AGCCAUUGAAGAAGCAAAAGCACGACACUCUCUCAGAAUCCUCACUGCCACACCACCGCCGCUAGCACCACCGCCACAAUCUCCUCAAACCCUAGCUCGUCCGCCUACUCCUCCUCCUCCGCCUCUGUCACAGGAUGAGGUCGUCACCAAGCAGAGGAACAAAGAUGAGGUUCGAACCAUGUUUGAGAGCUACCGUCGCAUCAAGCUCUUCUUGUCAAAGAAGGAAGGUGAUUUCAUCCAUGACCUUGAACAGAGCUUCUUCGCUCUCGUCAAUGCUUGCAGAGGUUUGUGAACUGGACUUGAUAUUCAACUUCCAUAAGGGAUCAAACAAUCUUAUUGCAAGCUUGCCAGAAGAUUUAGCAAAUUGUUCCAAAUUGUCCAAGCUAAAUAUGGAGGGAAACAAGUUAACAGAGAUAUCUGAAAAUCUCUUUUCAUCAUGGACCAUGCUUACUGAAUUCAAUGCAUCAAAAAACUUGUUGAAUGGCAUACCAGACAGCAUUGGAGGCCUUUCACGUCUAAUUCGUCUUGAUCUCCACCAGAACACUAGAACAUUCGGAACCAGUAUAAGCAGAAAUUGAGAGAACAGUUAGAUACUCUGGCAUAUUUGAUCAAAGAAUGAUGCAGACUCAAGCAUGCCACCAAAUGAUGGAUUAAGCAGAACAGGAGUACAAGAAGUUUUUCGAAUGGAUCACUGAAAGCCAUGAGGCAAUGAAGGUUAUUUGAAGCUUGGCAUAGUAAAAUACCUCUACUUGUUGAAGCUGUAAAGUCCUUGCUAGAGGAGCCGAGUUUAGGUGUUCGGAAAGCACUUUCUUAGUUAAUUGUGGUUAUGGCUUCACAUUGUUACUUGGUUGGUUCAUCUGGAGAGUUGUUCAUUGAGUAUCUUGUACGACACUGUGCUUUAACUGACAAUAAUCGCGGUGAUCUUGACAUCCUGAAUAAGAGAGUGGAGGUGAAGGAGAAAGAACAAGUCCAACUAAACAACUUGAGUUAGAGUUGCAUGUUUUGAUAUCAAUACCAAGAAAGUGCCAAAGGUGGAGUUGCAUGCUCAUCUCAAUGGAUCCAUUAGAGACUCCACACUCCUUUCUCUGAAGCUGUCUACAAGAGAUCAACAUUUCCUAUUUUCAAAGCACAUAGGUUGGCCCAGGCAUCAAUAGCUGAUUGUGUAUCAGAAACAUUUUCUGCUAUUCGAACACUGAGUUCUCCAUGGUUUAUACUUCAAAUUUAUAGUAACUUUGUGCAUUGUAAAGUGUUGUAUUUGUAAUAGACAGUUGAUAACAGUAAAAUAAAUUAUUACAGGUAAGAUCUUUUGGUGGUGAAAAGCGGCAGAUGUUUACAUUUGCUAAACAGGUUCUGUCUUUCCUGUCAAGUGGGAUAAAGCUUGGUACUUUCAAAUCAUUUAAUGAAUCUAUGACCAGGGUUGCUAUUUAUAUCUCUUUGAUUUCAUUAUAUUGUCUUAGAGGGAACAAAGUUAAGGCGGUUCAAGGACUGGUUAAUACCUUUGGAGGUCUCCGAGGAGCUUUUGCGGCCGUUGACAGGAUCAACUCUGUUUCAUCUUGAGUUCAAGUUGAUGAUUCUCUUGCCUAUGGCUUAGAAAGAGAACUAAGGCAACAGAAAGCAGUGGAUGAUGAGAAAUAUAAAUUAUUCUUCUCUAAUAGUUCAACUGAGAAAAACCAAAUGCAUUACAUGCUGGCACUAAAAACAUCUAGCAAUUUGUUUAGCUUGGCUUGGCUUGGCAAAUAUACAUGCUAAGAGAUUUCUUAUUCCAUAA